rnacentral:lncRNA from 1 species
GGAUAAGCUAAAUAUUUAUCUCUUCAUAAAACCUAGAUGACUCACACUACAGAAAAUGAGCUGUGUGAUUUGCACUUCUGGUUUGCCAGCUGGGACCCAGCCCAGAUCAUUUGUCUGCAUCAGGUGCUAUCAGCAGGUGUGUGCAGAAGCAGAGCGAGGAAGAGUAAAAUUUCCUGAAAAAUCUGAUGAACACCUGGAGGACUCGCUAAGAAUUGCAGCCAAUUCCAUUGAACCAGACCAACGCAUUAGUUUCACAAAAACAAGCCCAGGACAAUUCCUCUUCACUCAAAGCAGCCCAGACAAGCCUAAAUGUUGGACACACGUGUUAUUGAAUUUCUGCUUGCUUCUAUUGCAACUGGCAAGCUCAGAAAGCCAACUGUAUCCUGAGUUGCAUCAAAAUAAGCUUGAUCAGCACGUCAAGGAAGGUGAUCCUGCUCCUCUGCUCUGCACUGGUGAGGCCUCACCUGGAGUAUUGCAUCUAGAUGUGGAGUCCUCUGUACAGAAGAGACAUGGACCGAUUGGGGAGCAUCCAGAGGAGGGCCACAAAAAUGAUCGAAGGGCUGGAACACCUCUCCCGUGAGGACAGACUGAGAGAGUUGGGGCUGUUCAGCCUAGAGAAGAAAAGGCUGCAAGGUGACCUGUCAGGGGCCUUUCAGUAUCUAAAGGGGGGCCACAGGAAAGAAGGGGACAAACUCUUUAGCAGAGUCUGUAGCGAUAGAACAAGGUUGAAAUGGUUUCAAGCUCAGGGAGGGUAGAUUUAGGUUGGAUAUAAGGAAAAAAAUCUUCUACGGUGAGGGGGCUGAGGUACUGGAACAUGUUGCCUAGAGAUGUGGUUGAUGUCCUGUCCAUGGAGACUUUCAAAGUGAGGCUGGAUAAGGCCCCAGGGAACCUGAUAUAGCUGUGGUGUCCCUGUUCAUUGCAGAGGAGUUGAACUAGAUGGCCCUCAGAGGUCCCUUGAAACUCUAAGGAUUCUAUGAUUCUAUGAUUAUUGUAAGGCAGUGAGGUACGGGUGCCUUUCCCCCAGAGCUGUCCAGAUGAUCUUUAGUAAGACUAAAGACCUGGCAAAAGUCAAACAAUAGCAUCAGAAGGAAAAGCUAGUGAAGGGUAGUGCUACACUCUUGUGCUUUCAGAUUCAUCUCUUCUCCACAAACCUCUGCACAGGAGUCAAUCACUGACUAAUUAUUGCAUUUUAAGGUAAUAGAUCGCUUAGGCUAAUUGAGGAAAGAAAACUUAUCCUCCUUUCUUAACACACAUUUAGAUGUUCAGGAUCCCUCAGUUUUUCAGUCUUUUAGUCAUGUUCUGUCUUCCUCACAUUUUGAGACACUUCUCACAAGUUCACAACAUUUAAAAAGUCACAGCCUACGAAUGGGUUUGUAAGCAGUAGGAGUACCUCAGCCCCAUGUGUGUUUGUGUGUUAUAAAAAGGAUGUGUGUGGAAAGGCAUGCAAAAUACAAAGGCUAAUGCCAUCGUUUAUACGUUAUUUCCUUUAAAGAGUAUCUCCUAUUCAAAUCCAGAUGGUGCUUGGAGAAUUUUCUGCUACUGAAAACAGACUUCUCUUCCUCUUGGCUGCCGUACAUCCUUGCACCACACCUGGGAGUGACGUUGAUCACAUUCCCGUCUCCUGGCUGUGGAUCUGAAUGUUCCACCGUGUUAUCAUAAUGUGGACACUCAACUCAAGUCCCUGAGGUGAUAUUCUCCCCUUUCUCUUGGACAUAAGCAACAUGCCGUCAUUGAACUCUAGCAUCCUUUCUGUGUUUCACCCUUUCCCAAUCUGUCAAAAGUGGUCUCUGCGGUCUUAUGGAGAAAAGAGGAAGAAAAAAAUGGAAACUGCUCGGGAAAGUAGUGAGUAAUUUCCUGAUUUAAUAAAUAAAACUUGCGAAUCCUGCUGCUAUUUUGUGCUGCUAUGCUUUGUUACUAUUUGUGAGUAGAAAAACUACAGUAUUUUUAGAAAGAAAUGAGGAACAAGGAUCCAAAUUUAGUUUUGCUUCCAGCAUUUUGUCUGUUUGUCAGAUGGAUGAGAACCUCCAGGGAGCUCUAGCUGGGCUACAUCAAUACAAGAGCACAUUGUUUCUUAGGGCCAAGAAGGACCUUGUAGCCCUUCAGAUUCCCACACAUUUUACUAGCACAACAAAUGUGUACAAUUUACCAGAGGCAUGAAGCUACCUUUGAGUUAGGAUAGGAAACUAACUGGAAAGCGGCCCUCAGUACUGCC